AUUGAACGCUGGCGGUAGGCUUAACACAUGCAAGUCGAGCGGAGCGAGGGUGCUUGCACCUUAGCUUAGCGGCGGACGGGUGAGUAAUGCUUAGGAAUCUGCCUAUUAGUGGGGGACAACAUUCCGAAAGGAAUGCUAAUACCGCAUACGCCCUACGGGGGAAAGCAGGGGAUCUUCGGACCUUGCGCUAAUAGAUGAGCCUAAGUCGGAUUAGCUAGUUGGUGGGGUAAAGGCCUGCCAAGGCGACGAUCUGUAGCGGGUCUGAGAGGAUGAUCGGCCACACUGGGACUGAGUCACGGCCCAGACUCCUACGGGAGGCAGCAGUGGGGAAGAUUGGACAAUGGGCGGAAGCCUGAUCCAGCCAUGCCGCGUGUGUGAAGAAGGCCUUUUGGUUGUAAAGCACUUUAAGCGAGGAGGAGGCUACUUAGAUUAAUACUCUGGGAUAGUGGACGUUACUCGCAGAAUAAGCACCGGCUAACUCUGUGCCAGCAGCCGCCGUAA
rnacentral:rRNA from 1 species